ACCUCUUUAUAUUUAUAUUUAUAUCUUAAAAAUUGAAAAUCAUAAGAGACCCUUCAUUCUCCAAGCCUACUCUUCCUCUACCUCCUUAAUCCCUUUACUAGCGCCCAUAAUUUUCUUCUUCCUCAUCGGUCCCUCAUCACUACUCAUCAGUUCCUUUAUUCAUCUCGUCUCUCCCGUCAAAUCACUCUCCAUUUUGGUGACUUUGUGUUCUCACCAUUUGUUGCUCAAGGAGUCUCGAUUUUGUAUAUCUAUCGUAUAUCGUCUUUCUUUCUUCCUCACAUGGCGACAAUGGAGAUUUAAAGGUGGUUUCUUUUUUGUCAGUUUCGUUGCAUGCCCCUAAAAUCACAAGUCUUGAUAUGAAAAGGUGAUUGCUCCUUAGCGCUUGUCUUUCCUUUGCAUGUUUUGAUCUAGAGAUGUCAUUGUGUAGUUGCAAAUCUCAUUGCUAUUUUGAUUUUUUUCUUGAAAAUAUAAGAUUUAUUGUUGAUUAAAUUGAUUUGGAUCAUUUGGUAUUGAAUCUGCACAUUAGUCUUGC